UUUUUUUUAAGGUUAAUGAUAUAUAUGUUUUCUGUUAUUGGUAAAAUGGUAAAAUAUUACUAAUUUAAACAAGGCUUCAAGGAGAGAAGCUUAAGUUAAUAGAUCAAAGAUCCAAUUAACAAAAUUAUUCUACCAAACUGGGCAAAAGCUUUCUUCAGUGUAGCAAUUUCAUGCGUCCCACUAAGCUUUUACCAUCAAGUUUACUGCUCACAACCAGCUUCACAAAUUCUUCAUGUGUCAAGGACUUGUAAUUUGGUGUCUCUUCCUUAACAAGAUCUUCCAGAGGUGCUAUAAUGCUCUUCAAAUUUGGACCAUGAAAUGCUGCAAUUGAAAGCCUUUCGUUUUCUGGGUUUACAGCAGCUCUGUGCUCUAUGCUCUUAUAUUUCCCAUUGCUCAUUAUCUCAAUGAUGUCACCAAUAUUGACAAUAAAAGCACCAGGGAUGGGUGUGAUGGGUACCCAUUUACCAUUUUUCUUGAUUUGUAAUCCUUGAACUUCAUUUGCUUGAAUUAACAAUGUCAAUCCAGUGGAAUCAGAGUGAGUAUUUAGGCCCAUGACCUUGUUUGCCUCUACACAAGGUGCAUAAUAGUUCAUUCUUAUCGCUUGUGUUCCAUCUUCAAAUAUGCUUCUAAGCUUCUCUGGGUCUAUCCCCAAAUUCCUGCCCAUCAACCGCAGCAAGGAUACUGCAAUUCUUUGCACCUCUGAUGAAUACUUGUCAAAGGUUGCUCUAAAAGAAGUGGGAGUAGUAGGCCAAAAUCGCAUAUUUCUUAUUGAGGCAGGCUUGGAAAGAAGGAAAAGCAUGUCACCCCAAUCAAGCUUUUGCUCUUCAGAAACAACAAAGGCUUGCCCAUACCCUUGAAUAUCAUUUGGCACCUGAGCACAGGACAUCUUCUCCUCCAAUGGCAGCUUAAAGAACUCUUUUAUCUCCAUCUUCAUAUUCUCUAUCACUUCUGCUGGAACCCCAUGAUUUAUCAGCUGGAAAAAUCCCCAGUUUUCGCAGGCCCUGUGAAGCUCACCCAGUUCAUCACCAUGGCCUGAUUGAUUUCGCACCAACUUGCUCAUAUCAAUCACUGGAAUUUGGAGAGAUUCAUCCAUGGAAACCUUGUCAAAUUCCAGGUCAGGCCGGAUAUAUCUGUGUGGUAUGUCCUUAAGCCUCUUGGAAGCAAGUGCCUGCACAUUCUCAACAGGAAGAGAACCUCCUACGUCCUUUGUCCACCCCUCUUCGUUCCCCAUUUCUCCAAUAUUCCUUACUCUUUUUUUUUCAGAGAUAAUCUACCUUAUUGAA
rnacentral:misc_RNA from 1 species